rnacentral:rRNA from 1 species
GAUGAACGCUGGCGGCGUGCCUAAUACAUGCCAGUCGAGCGAACAGACGAGGAGCUUGCUCCUCUGACGUUAGCGGCGGACGGGUGAGUAACACGUGGAUAACCUACCUAUCAGACGGGGAAAACUUCGGGAAGCCGGCGCUAAUACCGGAUAAUAUCUUGAACCGCAUGGGUCAAUAGUGAAAGACGGUUUUGCUGUCUCGUAUAGAUGGAUACGCGCCGCAUUAGCUAGUUGGUAAGGUAAAGGCCUACCAAGGCAACGAUGCGUAGCCGACCUGAGAGGGGGAUCGGCCACACUGGAGCUGAGACACGGUCCAGACUCCUACGGGAGGCAGCAGUAGGGAAUCUUCCGCAAUGGUCGAGAGCCUGGCGGAGCAACGCCGCGUGAGUGAUGAAGGUCUUCGGAUCGUAAAACUCUGUUAUUAGGGAAGAACAAAUGUGUAAGUAACUAUGCACGUCUUGACGGUAACUAAUCAGAAAGCCACGGCUAACUACGUG